CCUACGGGAGGCAGCAGUGGGGAAUAUUGCACAAUGGGGGAAACCCUGAUGCAGCGACGCCGCGUGAGUGAAGAAGUAAUUCGUUAUGUAAAGCUCUAUCAGCAGGGAAGAAAAUGACGGUACCUGAGUAAGAAGCCCCGGCUAACUACGUGCCAGCAGCCGCGGUAAUACGUAGGGGGCAAGCGUUAUCCGGAUUUACUGGGUGUAAAGGGAGCGUAGACGGCAGUGCAAGUCUGGAGUGAAAGGCGGGGGCUCAACCCCCGGACUGCUCUGGAAACUGUACGGCUGGAGUGCAGGAGAGGUAAGUGGAAUUCCUAGUGUAGCGGUGGAAUGCGUAGAUAUUAGGAGGAACACCAGAGGCGAAGGCGGCUCACUGGACUGUAACUGACGUUGAGGCUCGAAAGCGUGGGGAGCAAACAGGAUUAGAUACCCGGGUAGUC
rnacentral:rRNA from 1 species